rnacentral:rRNA from 1 species
AGUGAACGCUGGCGGUAGGCCUAACACAUGCAAGUCGAACGGCAGCACAGUAAGAGCUUGCUCUUACGGGUGGCGAGUGGCGGACGAGUGAGGAAUACAUCGGAAUCUACUUUUUCGUGGGGGAUAACGUAGGGAAACUUACGCUAAUACCGCAUACGACCUACGGGUGAAAGCAGGGGAUCUUCGGACCUUGCGCGAUUGAAUGAGCCGAUGUCGGAUUAGCUAGUUGGCGGGGUAAAGGCCCACCAAGGCGACGAUCCGUAGCUGGUCUGAGAGGAUGAUCAGCCACACUGGAACUGAGACACGGUCAAGACUCCUAUGGGAGGCAGCAGUGGGGAAUAUUGGACAAUGGGCGCAAGCCUGAUCCAGCCAUACCGCGUGGGUGAAGAAGGCCUUCGGGUUGUAAAGCCCUUUUGUUGGGAAAGAAAAGCAGCAGGUUAAUACCCCGCUGUUCUGACGGUACCCAAAGAAUAAGCACCGGCUAACUUCGUG